GGAGAGAUGGCAGAGUGGUUGAAUGCGGCGGUCUUGAAAACCGUUAAGGGUAACUCCCUUCCAGGGUUCGAAUCCCUGUCUCUCCG
rnacentral:tRNA from 5 species